rnacentral:lncRNA from 1 species
GGGGCCCUCGGUGCUGGCUGCACCCCCUUCUCGCCCAGCAGCUGCAGGCAGCUGUGCUCUUCCCUGGCAGGACCCCUGGGCUCAGGCCUGAUUUGCCCAAGUCUUUAUGGCCUUUGGUCACCGCUGCCACGGCUCGCCACCUCGCUGGCCCCGUUUCCUGCCACCUUGCAGCCUGAGCGCAACUUCCUGCCGGCGUGGCGACCUGCGCCGCCAGAGUUCCCAUUCGGGCUCAGGGGGUUAAGGACCCGACAUUGUCUCCGUGAGGACGCAGGUUUGAUCCCUGGUCUCGCUCGGUGGGUUAAGGAUCUGGUGUUGUAGAUAGGUCUCAGAUGGAGCUCGAACCCAGUGCUGCUGUGGCUGUGGCAUAGGUCUCAGCUGCAGCUCCGAUUCUGCCCCUAGCCUGGGACCCUCCAUAUGCUGCAGGUGUGACCCUAAAAAGAGAGAAAAAAAAGUGAAGGCAAAAACCACCGUCAGCACAUGAGGCCAGUUGCUUCUGACGAGGGAACAGGAUGGGCUUGAACGAAGGAAGAGCCUUUAAGACCCGGGCCGUCAGUGCGGCGGCUGUGAAGGGGCUCCUUCCACGUGCUUGACAGACACCGCUGCUGGGUCGAGGCCGUCUUGCGGGUUGAACACCGGGCACGGCCUGGAUGGCUCCUCUCCGCGAUCUUGGCGGCCACUGCUUAGGACUGACCUGCCACCUCCGCUGCCGUCCCCCCGGCCCCGGGGGAGAGGCGAGGAGAGUCAGCGACGUGCCCAAAGCGGCGAGGCUUCUGAAGAGGCCCGGGAAGGCCGGAACCAGGGCCUCCUGACUGCGGAAGGAGGGCUCCUCCUGCUGCCGUGACGCCUCCCCCCCCCCGGGGGUGUCCUUUCCAGGUGACCGAUGCCUGCAGGACCCAGAGGGCAUAGAGGUGAAAGUGCGCCCUGGGGUCAGGUGGGGCUCACUUGCCCACUCUUCCACUCUCGAGCCUUGUGCCCUUGGGCGGGUCGCCCUCUGUGAGCCUCCGUUUUCUCAUCUGUAAAGUGGGGAUCAAGGUUCCUGAUUCUCAUGGGCAUGGGCAUGGGCAGGAGUCACGUGGCCUGGAUCUGCCCCCGGGUGAAUACUUGGAUUAACAACAGGGCCGGGCCCUGCCGCCCGUCCCCUGGGCUUGCGGCUCCUGGCACAGGCGGUGACAGCGUCAGUCCGGGAUCCUGCCCAGGUCGGGGUGGGCCUGGGAGGCCAGCUUCAGCUCCCUCUCUAGUCUUUCCUUUCCCUUGGAAGAGGCGUGUCUCUAACCCCACGGGACCCCUGAUGGCGUUCUCAUCAUUUGAGGAAACCCCUGUGCAGACACCCGGCUCACUCCUUGCUGUCCCCAGGCACAGCCACCAGGUUGCAUAAGCAAUCUGCUUAAGGUCACUCAGAUCGAGGCCGAGUGUUGACACAAUAGCUUUGAUCUCCUGGGGAAGGAAAAAGAGAAGGAGUUCAACUGGGGACAUGCCAGGGAGGCAGCUUUUCAUGGCACUUGGUGAUUUUCCAUGCUUUAAUUGAGAGCUUUCGGAGCCGUAGGGUGUUGGAGAAGAUGUGAGGCAGCAAAGCUCAGGGAUGCCCAGGGCUUUCUGGAGCGGGGUCUCUGCUUCGUAGCCAGUUGUCCAGAUGGGAGCCCGUCCCGCUCCCCAGGCGAGCUUGGAGCACCACGCACAUGAUGCCAAGCCCUGCUGGGUGCUGCGCGCAGAGGUAGGAGGCAGAUGCCCUGCCCUCUGGAGUCCACAGCCUGCGGGCAGGUGGAAGGCGAGUCUCUGGAAAACCUCUAAUACGUAGGGUUGGAUGUUCCCGAGGCAGGUCCUUCUGCGUGGUCGUUCUGCAGCCCCACCCAGUGGCCCAGGUCUUGUGUUGGGCGGCAGGGUGAAUGACCAGGAACCCGGCGUGGCUGUCAGUGUCCUGUCCAGAUGCUGUGUGUGCUGGGCAUCUCCGGUCCCUGGCAUAUAAAAGAGGCUAGGCUUCCAGAGUGUUCCCAUGGUGCACUGGAAUCAUGGGAUCCGUGGAAAUAAACCCUGAGGCGGCCCUGGAAGGCUGGGUAGGGUGAGCGUGGGCCUGCACAAGUAUGUGUGCAAAGGUGGGAGUCAGGAAGGGGCUGGAGGAGCCCAGCCCGGCUGGAGCCGGGCGAUUGAAGGGGCAGGGCGCCAAGCACAGUGGGUACCUUCGUGGUAGGUCCUCUGCACAUGUUUGUCUUUUAUUCUGAGUGCAAGAGGGGACGCCUCAGAGACUUUUUAAGCAAGGGAGUGACAGCAUCCCCCCUUCUGGCUGGGGGGAGCCACAUGGACUGAGGGGUCUGAGGGAGGCAGGGGGCUGUCGGCAGACGUGAGCGUGGGUUCGAUCAAGGCAGGGGGAGUGGACACAUUGAUUCCGAAUAGGGGCUCAGACAUUGUGGACGUGCGACCAACAGGCCGGGCCAAUGGGCUGAUCUUGUCAUUAGCUUCCAAGUCACCCUAGUCACAGACCCCACUGGGCUGAGAAUCAAUCACCCCGACCCCCAAAGCCACACUGGUUAGGUUCUGCGGAUUGUAAGUCCCUCUUACUGUCUCACCUGCAGCCCUCACUUUGCCUGUAUUUCUUCUCCAUCUGUUCUCAGUAGAAGUGAAGUGUGGCCCAUCACAAGGGAUGCGUUUUGCUUCCACAAGUGCCCUUGAAACCGUCCCGCCCCCAAGCCCUUAUGCUUCAGUGCUUUGCCAGCCCAGGCUGCCCUCUCUCGACACCCUGGUCUCCAGGUCUCCGGCUCCUUUGCUGAAGCCCCUGUCCUUGUCCGCUUGAAACUGGGCCUCCAUCCUGGACUUGGCUGGGGAAGGCCGGGGCAGCUCGGAGCCGCAGGAGAGUUCUCGCUCGGCCUAGAAAGCUUGUCACGGCCGUGCCGCAUCUGGUCUGUUGACAACAGCUGGGGCAGCAUCUCUGGAAAAUGUGGGGCCUGUCGUGGCUUCAGUGAAUGUACUCAUAGAGCCCAGGGACCCCUGCCCAGCCUGGAGGAUGCAGGGGAAGGGGCCGGUGGACAGAAACCCAGAAGGAUUUCAGCAUCCCAGGCUUACUCCUGCUUCCUUAGUGGGGAUGUCAGGUAACGCCGCCUCCUGGGAAGGAGCGCCAAGCCCCGGGAGGGCUGGAGACGGGGAAGCAGCGAGAGGUGUCGCUGAGAUGGACGUGUGAUUCAUUCCCAGCCGGCCCCGAGCUGACGACAUGUGUGCUGCCUGCCGGCGCUUUAUCCAGUCCAGGCUGCUGGCUUCCUUGGGGACCCGCGCAGGGUGAAACGAAGCCCAUUUUGCCUCUUGUACCGCAGUCCUCCGUGGUCCCGAGCACGGCGUCGAUGCAGACCCCCACCCCUGUUGACCGGAGCCCUUUAAAAGUAUCACAUUUUUUGGAGUUCCCGUCAUGGCGCAGUGGUUAACGACUCUGACUAGGAACCAUGAGGCUGUGGGUUCGAUCCCUGGCCUUGCUCAGUGGGUUAAUGAUCCGGAGUUGCCGGGAGCUGUGGUGUAGGUCACAGAGGCGGCUCAGAUCCUGCGUUGCUGUGGCUGUGGUGUAGGCUGGCGGCCACAGCUCCAGUUCGACCCCUAGCCUGGCAACCUCCGUAUGCCGCGGGAGCAGCCCUAGAAA